rnacentral:sRNA from 1 species
CAAAAAGUCAAGAUGGCCGAGUUGGUCUAAG